GAGGGUAGCGGAGAAAUUCCAAUCGAACCUGGAGAUAGCUGGUUCUCUCCGAAAUAGCUUUAGGGCUAGCCUCAAGUGAUGAUUAUUGGAGGUAGAGCACUGUUUGGACGAGGGGCCCCUCUCGGGUUACCGAAUUCAGACAAACUCCGAAUGCCAAUUAAUUUAACUUGGGAGUCAGAACAUGGGUGAUAAGGUCCGUGUUCGAAAGGGAAACAGCCCAGACCACCAGCUAAGGUCCCAAAAUAUAUGUUAAGUGGAAAAGGAUGUGGCGUUGCCCAGACAACUAGGAUGUUGGCUUAGAAGCAGCCAUCAUUUAAAGAGUGCGUAAUAGCUCACUAGUCGAGUGACACUGCGCCGAAAAUGUACCGGGGCUAAACAUAUUACCGAAGCUGUGGAUUGUCCUUUGGACAAUGGUAGGAGAGCGUUCUAAGGGCGUUGAAGCAUGAUCGUAAGGACAUGUGGAGCGCUUAGAAGUGAGAAUGCCGGUGUGAGUAGCGAAAGACGGGUGAGAAUCCCGUCCACCGAUUGACUAAGGUUUCCAGAGGAAGGCUCGUCCGCUCUGGGUUAGUCGGGUCCUAAGCUGAGGCCGACAGGCGUAGGCGAUGGAUAACAGGUUGAUAUUCCUGUACCACCUAUA
rnacentral:rRNA from 1 species